AUGGCCGAGGUACAGGAGUUAUCCUACGACAUGGAGGACGACAUCGACGACUUUGUAAAUCAGAAGGCCAGUCAGAUCUCUUUAGAGCAACUGAAGACAAGAGUCAAGAAUGUGUCGCGGCGGAGCUGCGAGAUGCAGAAGGCCGCAGAAGCUACCUCCAACUGUAGCAAGCCGGCCAUAGUAGAUCCUCGAUCUCGCUUCCUUCACAGUGAUCCGUCAGAACUCGUGGGCAUGGAGGCACUCAAAGAUGAUCUCUUCGAAUUGGUGGCAGGAGGUGUGGACACAUUGGGGGACGCCGGAGAACAACACUCGGAAAAUAUUAGUUUCAAGGUACAAAUGCCGAAUGAUAAGUUGCGCUCAAUGGCGCUGGCGACAGCGGCUCGGAUACAGGGGGUGAGGUCGAAGGGUAUCACCGGCACUGCGGGGGACAUACUGGAGGUCGUCGGGUGCCGAAUAGACGUCGUUGAGUUGGUUACCAUGCUCCGAAAGAAGCUGGGCGGAGCGCAAAUUACGAAGGUCGAGCGGGUGAAAAAGAAUCUGCCGGCGGUAGCCGCCCGCCAGCGACCACAUCAGAUCAAAACGAUAUGCAUCCACGGACUGCCAGGGGUUGGUAAGACAGCUCUUGCAGAUCUAGUGUACUCCGCCACAGAAGAGCAAUUCGAUUGUCGGGCAUUUGUGUCGGUUUCUCCAAGCCCUGACAUUACGGAGGUUCUGCGAGCAAUUGUCACGCAAGUAACUAAUUCACCGGUUGCCUACACCGGAGCAGUGACCGAACAGUAUCUCCUCCACGAAUUAUCAAAAUUCCUCGUUGACAAAAGGUACCUCGUGAUUAUUGAUGACAUUUGGCAUUGGGAAGAAUUGCAAAUCAUCGCAAAGUCUCUGCCAAAGAACAAUCCGAGCAGUAGAAUAGUCAUCACAACUCGCAUCAGUGCUAUUGCUGAGAAAUGUCUAACUGACGACAUGCAUACCUUGCUCUAUAAAAUUGGAGGUCUUGAUGUUGUGGAUGCUUGGACUCUAAUGAAAUCUGGCGACGAUAAUGCAUUUUAUGGUAUUACGGAAAUGUGUGAUGGUAUGCCGCUAGCAAUAAUUUGCAUAUCGUUAGCAAUGAAAGAGCAGACAAAGGAGGAGGAUGGUGAUUUGGGAAAAACGAGGGUUCUGAGGCGUGUAAAAGAUGGGAUCUUAACUAUCCCGUCUUUGAAACCAUUGGCUGAGAGCUUAUGUCUUGGCUACAAGGAUCUUCCUCUCUAUCUGAGGACUUUCUUGCUAUACUGUAGUAUAUACAGUUGCCGUCACAAAUUCGAAAAAGAUCGUUUGGUGAGGAGAUGGAUUGCUGAAAGAUUGGUCUAUCAAGAGGAGACCGCAGAAGGUUACUUUGACGAUCUUGUCGACAGGGAAUGGAUUAAACCGGUAGCAAGUGGUAAACAUGAAAUCCACCCCGUGAUGUUGGCCUUCCUCAAGUGCAAAUCACAAGAGGAUAAUCUUGUUACACACUUGGAUUUCUGCUCCGAUAUUUCACCGUGUAAACAAAUUCGUCGGCUGUCCCUCCAAGGCAAAAAGGGGCAAUCAAUGAACUUUUCAGCAUUGGAUUUAUCACACACUCACUCCCUCGCUGUCUUUGGUUCAGUAAGUGGAGUCCCCUUCAAGCGUUUCGAACGGCUGCGAGUUCUGGAGCUUGAAGACACUGAGGGUCUAGAGAAUGCUCAUCUGGUGGAUAUAUGUGGACUGCUCUGGCUGAGGCACAUUGGUCUCAUGGGGACACCAAUAACCGAGGUUCCAUUUCAGAUCAAGAGUUUGCUGCAUCUGGAGACUCUCGAUAUAAGAGACACAGGGGUCAUGGAGCUCCCCUGGGAAGCUUGUCAGCUUCCAAAAUCCGUGCGCGUUCUCGCUGGCAGUAAGGAUUCCCGCCAAGGUAUAAGUUUGCCUGAGGGCGUGCACGAAGAUCUCGAGAACGGAAUUCCAGACUCUUCCAUGGCAAAGUGCAGGGAGGUCUUGUCCAUCCUGCUUAUUGACCCUUUUGGUCUCGGCGCAGCUCCACAAUUUGCCGCAUUCAAGGUUCCCGGAAGGUGCAUGCAUAUUCCGGAGUUGAUCAAAGAAUACUUCAAAAUUCUCUCCUCCUUGGAUAUCAGGCUCUUCAAACUGGAAGAGGAUGACAUCAAGUUUCUGCAGGAGAUGCCCAAUCUCAAGAUUCUCGUGGUGAGGUUUGAAGUCGUCCCAGUGGAACCGGUAACCAUCAACGCUGUAGGGUUCGCGAUGCUGGAGAGCUUCGGUGUAGAUUCCCGCGUGCCACGUGUGACAUUCGAGCAAGGAGCAAUGCCAAAGCUCAGACGUCUCGCGUUCAAGAUUUACAAUGGUCCAGAAAGCAAAAACCCUCUGGGCAUCACACACCUCCGGAGGCUCGAGGUAGUCGUCUUCCGGUGCUCCCCGUGGUAUGGAGGCGACAGCCCGGGCAUCAGCACCACGGUUGCAAUUGUCAGAAGGGAGGCAUGGGAGCAUCCCAACCAAAUCACUCUCUGCAUCAAUGACUAUAAAGAGAUUUUCCCGGAGAGAAAGAGCGCACUGGCACAGGUUUGUGAAGAAUCUGGGAGCAGCAGGAUGGGUGGGGUGGAUGUACAGGCAGAUAUCUUCUCUGUCUCUGCUGCCCGAAACAGCAUAGCUAGUAUUGAUGCUACUGCAAGCUGCAGCCAGACGAGCGAAAUUGAAGAGGUCAAAGACCAAUGGUAUAGUUAUUUUUUCGGACUACCAUAG
rnacentral:rRNA from 1 species